CAGGGUAUAGACCCGAAACCCGGUGAUCUAGCCAUGGGCAGGUUGAAGGUUGGGUAACACUAACUGGAGGACCGAACCGACUAAUGUUGAAAAAUUAGCGGAUGACCUGUGGCUGGGGGUGAAAGGCCAAUCAAACCGGGAGAUAGCUGGUUCUCCCCGAAAGCUAUUUAGGUAGCGCCUCGUGAAUUCAUCUCCGGGGGUAGAGCACUGUUUCGGCUAGGGGGCCAUCCCGGCUUACCAACCCGAUGCAAACUGCGAAUACCGGAGAAUGUUAUCACGGGAGACACACGGCGGGUGCUAACGUCCGUCGUGAAGAGGGAAACAACCCAGACCGCCAGCUAAGGUCCCAAAGUCAUGGUUAAGUGGGAAACGAUGUGGGAAGGCCCAGACAGCCAGGAUGUUGGCUUAGAAGCAGCCAUCAUUUAAAGAAAGCGUAAUAGCUCACUGGUCGAGUCGGCCUGCGCGGAAGAUGUAACGGGGCUAAACCAUGCACCGAAGCUGCGGCAGCGACACUGUGUGUUGUUGGGUAGGGGAGCGUUCUGUAAGCCUGUGAAGGUGUGUCGUGAGGCAUGCUGGAGGUAUCAGAAGUGCGAAUGCUGACAUAAGUAACGAUAAAGCGGGUGAAAAGCCCGCUCGCCGGAAGACCAAGGGUUCCUGUCCAACGUUAAUCGGGGCAGGGUGAGUCGACCCCUAAGGCGAGGCCGAAAGGCGUAGUCGAUGGGAAACGGGUUAAUAUUCCCGUACUUGGUGUUACUGCGAAGGGGGGACGGAGAAGGCUAUGUUGGCCGGGCGACGGUUGUCCCGGUUUAAGCGUGUAGGUGUGUGUUCCAGGUAAAUCCGGUUCACUUUAACACUGAGGCGUGACGACGAGGCACUACGGUGCUGAAGCAACAAAUGCCCUGCUUCCAGGAAAAGCCUCUAAGCAUCAGGUAACAUCAAAUCGUACCCCAAACCGACACAGGUGGUCAGGUAGAGAAUACCAAGGCGCUUGAGAGAACUCGGGUGAAGGAACUAGGCAAAAUGGUGCCGUAACUUCGGGAGAAGGCACGCUGACACGUAGGUGAAGUGAUUUACUCAUGGAGCUGAAGUCAGUCGAAGAUACCAGCUGGCUGCAACUGUUUAUUAAAAACACAGCACUGUGCAAACACGAAAGUGGACGUAUACGGUGUGACGCCUGCCCGGUGCCGGAAGGUUAAUUGAUGGGGUCAGCGCAAGCGAAGCUCCUGAUCGAAGCCCCGGUAAACGGCGGCCGUAACUAUAACGGUCCUAAGGUAGCGAAAUUCCUUGUCGGGUAAGUUCCGACCUGCACGAAUGGCGUAAUGAUGGCCAGGCUGUCUCCACCCGAGACUCAGUGAAAUUGAACUCGCUGUGAAGAUGCAGUGUACCCGCGGCAAGACGGAAAGACCCCGUGAACCUUUACUAUAGCUUGACACUGAACAUUGAGCCUUGAUGUGUAGGAUAGGUGGGAGGCUUUGAAGUGUGGACGCCAGUCUGCAUGGAGCCGACCUUGAAAUACCACCCUUUAAUGUUUGAUGUUCUAACGUGGACCCGUUACCCGGGUUGCGGACAGUGUCUGGUGGGUAGUUUGACUGGGGCGGUCUCCUCCUAAAGAGUAACGGAGGAGCACGAAGGUUGGCUAAUCCUGGUCGGACAUCAGGAGGUUAGUGCAAUGGCAUAAGCCAGCUUGACUGCGAGCGUGACGGCGCGAGCAGGUGCGAAAGCAGGUCAUAGUGAUCCGGUGGUUCUGAAUGGAAGGGCCAUCGCUCAACGGAUAAAAGGUACUCCGGGGAUAACAGGCUGAUACCGCCCAAGAGUUCAUAUCGACGGCGGUGUUUGGCACCUCGAUGUCGGCUCAUCACAUCCUGGGGCUGAAGUAGGUCCCAAGGGUAUGGCUGUUCGCCAUUUAAAGUGGUACGCGAGCUGGGUUUAGAACGUCGUGAGACAGUUCGGUCCCUAUCUGCCGUGGGCGCUGGAGAACUGAGGGGGGCUGCUCCUAGUACGAGAGGACCGGAGUGGACGCAUCACUGGUGUUCGGGUUGUCAUGCCAAUGGCACUGCCCGGUAGCUAAAUGCGGAAGAGAUAAGUGCUGAAAGCAUCUAAGCACGAAACUUGCCCCGA
rnacentral:rRNA from 1 species